UAGUUAUCGUUAAUUAUAGACUAAUUAGAUUUAAAAGAUUAAUCUCACAAUUUACAAACAAACCAAACUUAAUGAUUUGAUGCGAUGGAUAAAAAUUUUUUAAGUGUGGAACUAAGAGCAUCUCCAAUAGAACUUGGCAUCCAUAAAAAUUUAGCAAAACAAAAAAAAUAGUCUCCAACAGUUUACCAUCUAGACUUGGUAUUUAUCCUAACUUGGCAUAUCUCCUCCUUCAGCGCGUAAAUAUACUCGUGCGGGGCGUAAAUAUACGCGUGCGUAUCGAGCUCCCCAUUCUGUUUUCGUGCGGAUUUUUCUAGUUGGCGCGGCUUCCUGAUUGGUUCUGGUUGUGCUGCUGCCUGUUUGAAGUGACUAGAGUACAGGUGUGGUCCAUGCGAGUGCUGCCAAAUAUGCCAGGUGCUGAAUAAAUGACGAUGCUCCUUCUUUUCACACGAAACUAUUUUUUGGUAAAAUGAACAUGGUACCACUUUCAUUUCUAUUUGCUUGGAUUAACUAGGGCCUUGUUUAGUUCUCAAAAAAUUUUACAAAAUUUUUUAGAUUCUCCGUCACAUCAAAUCUUUAGAUAUAUGCAUGAAGUACUAAAUAUAGAUAAAAAUAAAAACUAAUUGCACAGUUUAG
rnacentral:lncRNA from 1 species